ACGGGAGGUUCUUCGUUGGUUUCACUAUCUCAAGACUAUUUUACAUGUUACAAGUGAAGUGUGCUAGAAUGAAUUGAUUCCCCUCAUGCUAAUGCUAAAGCUCCUAUUUAUAGCUGUGAGAAUGAACCCUAAAGGCCUUAGGCCCAUCAACUCUAAUAAUUGGGUUUAGGUCCAAAACUUAGUACAAUGAUCUUAAUCUCCAAGCUGAACCAUCAUUCGUGGCUGCGUGGAAAGGCACUUUGGCUGCGCUGCUCUACGCUGCUGUGCUGCGCGGCUCUGGUAUGCGCUGUUUUUCUCUAGCUGCGCAGCUCUACGCUGCUCUGGUCCGCGUUGCUCUGCUCUGGCUGCGCAGCUCUACGCUGCUCCGCUCUGGCAUGUCGUCUCUGGUGAAGCGGGCUCUUUAGGCAUCUUCGACUGCGUUGGCACCUCUCGACUGCGCAAGCUCUUCGUAUUCAUUUAUUAUCCCGAGUCUUUAGUUAAACCUGCGCUGGUUAGUUUAUAUAAUAAUAAUAACAGUAAUCAUAACAAGGUAAAAUAGGCUUGGAUUACUAAGCACAGCGCUGAUGAGUAUUCCAGUCCUCAUCAGCUACUCCCCCCUAGUCUAGUUGAACAGCGUUCUCUUUGUUCAACUAGGGGUGUGUGGUGUGAAGUCAGCGCUGUGCUGCUCUCCCGGGUCAAUUAAGCAUACACGAUUCCCUGCGACUUAUUAGACAAGAACUGUCAAUCUUUGCAAAAAUGAUAAAGACAAAGUAUUUUAAUGCUGGAAAUAAGCUGAGAUAAAAGAGAUAGCAAUUAUUCCUUUUGAUUCGUCGAACAUCAUUAAAGAUAAUAAGGGCUUAGAUAACCUGUGCUGGGAAGACUCAAGUGAUCUGCGUUGACAACCUCGCGCUGACUGCGCUGCACCGANGAAAGGUCACGGGAGAUGACUGAAAAAUUUAUUCUAUCCAGAAGAGUCAAGGAAGAAAUGUGACACUAGGAACGGACCUCAGGAUAAUACCGAGAAUUCGGGAGGAGACAACUUUUUACAAAUAAUUCACAGCACUCCUUCUAUCACUGACAAGGAAAAUGAGCAACAGAAGAGGCGGGGAAGACCACCAAAAACUGAGAAACGGAAGACCAAUGAAUGAUAGUGGCAUAAAGGGGCGCCUUCGGAAAAAUGAUCAGAAGAUAAGUUCUUAAACAAUUGACUACAUUAACCAGAAAUUAUCUUCGUCGAUUGCGGCAGGUCAUCAACCUCGAGAUUAUACUAUCGUGAAUGCUGGGAACCCUAGUGCGCGUUCGAUGCAUAAUGUGUCAACAAAGAGUUGGGUUGAUGAAGUGGAAGGCUUGGGCUGAUCCACUCAAUGUAUUUUUUUCUUUUAUGAAUUUGUUGGUUUGGAACGUUCGGGGUCUCUCAGACCAAAUAAAACUUUGUCAACCACAUGACCACUUGUCUAAUCCACAUGUGAGGAGAUUAAAAUAAUGGGAGUGGUGAAGCACUGAAUCACCAACACCUAAACUAGAAAUUAAAAAGCGAUAAAUGACACACGGAUUUACGUGGUUCGGUCGUUAAGACCUACAUCCACGGGAGUUCUUCGUUGGUUUUCACCAUAGCUUAAGAAAGUUUACAUUUUACAAGUGUGUUGCUGGAAUGAGUUGAUCCUCUAGUUUUCCAAUAGAUGUGCUAUUUAUAGUUUGUGAGCAAACCCUAAUUCUAAAAGCCCACUCAUCUAGUCAAUUGGGCCCAAAACUCAGUACAACGGUCUUAUUCCCGAAGUUGAACUAUCAUACGUAGCUGCGCAGGAAAGGCACUUUGGUGGCGCUGUUCUGACUGCGCAGCGCUGCCGCGCUGCUUUGGUCUGCGCUGCUCUGCUCUGGUCUGGUCUGCGCUGCUCUGGUUUGGCUGCGCGGCUGCACGGGAAAGCUACUUGGCUGCGCAGGAAGGCACCUUGGCUGCGUGGGAAGGUUUCUGUGUGCAAUCAUUCUUCACUCCAUCUACUUAGGUGGAUUUCUUACUCUUUUAUCCAAGAUAUCCGAUCGUACCUGCGCUGUUAGUUUCUGUAAUAAUAAUAAUAAUAGUAAUAAUAAGGUAAAAUAGGCUUAGAUUGCUAAGCACAGCGCUGAUGGGAAUUACAGUCCUCAUCAGCUACUCCCCCCUAGUCUAGUUGAACAGCGUUCUCUUUGUUCAACUAGUGGUGUGUGGUGUGAAGUCAGCGCUGUGCUGCUCUCCCGUGUCAAUUAAGCAUACACGAUUCCCUGCGACUUAUUAGACAAGAACUGUCAAUCUUUGCAAAAAUGAUAAAGACAAAGUAUUUUAAUGCUGGAAAUAAGCUGAGAUAAAAGAGAUAGCAAUUAUUCCUUUUGAUUCGUCGAACAUCAUUAAAGAUAAUAAGGGCUUAGAUAACCUGUGCUGGGAAGACUCAAGUGAUCUGCGUUGACAACCUCGCGCUGACUGCGCUGCACCGACU
rnacentral:lncRNA from 1 species